UACAGAGGGUGCGAGCGUUGUCCGGAAUCACUGGGCGUAAAGGGCGCGUAGGCGGCUUUUCAAGCGUGCGGUGAAAGCUCGGGGCUUAACUCCGAGUCUGCCGUGCGAACUGGGAGGCUUGAGUCUGGUAGAGGUCGAUGGAAUUCCGGGUGUAGCGGUGGAAUGCGUAGAGAUCCGGAAGAACACCGGUGGCGAAGGCGGUCGACUGGGCCAGUACUGACGCUGAGGCGCAACAGCGUGGGGAGCAAACAGG
rnacentral:rRNA from 1 species